ACGGUCCUACGGGAGGCAGCAGUGAGGAAUAUUGGUCAAUGGCCGAGAGGCUGAACCAGCCAAGUCGCGUGAGGGAUGACGGCCCUACGGGUUGUAAACCUCUUUUGUCGGGGAGCAAAGAGAGUCACGUGUGGCUCAUUGAGAGUACCCGAAGAAAAAGCAUCGGCUAACUCCGUGCCAGCAGCCGCGGUAAUACGGAGGAUGCGAGCGUUAUCCGGAUUUAUUGGGUUUAAAGGGUGCGCAGGCGGAGGUGCAAGUCAGUGGUCAAAUUGCGGGGCUCAACCCCGUACUGCCGUUGAAACUGC
rnacentral:rRNA from 1 species